AACACCGUUUAUGAACGCCAGUUUCCACUUCCGGUAAACAACUACCUGAAUUUACUUUCAUAAUAUAUAAAGCAGAUAAAUGCUAUUGUACCAUCGCAAUCCCAUUUUUCAGUUUUAUUUGGCUCAAACACUGUUGCUGUUUCCUGACGGUUAAAGAAUUCAAGUGGGGACGGCAUUUUCCAGACGAAGGAAUGGCAAAGAUGAUAAUGGCCUGUCUGCUCCUGGCGUUGGUGCUGGUUGCUCGCAUUCAGGAUACCAAAGCGGACACUUUCUACGGAAGCGUUGCGGCGGCGUGUAGAUGGCUGAAGGAUAACUUUGGCUACGGCUGCGACGGGCAGGCGGAACGCUGGAUUUGGCAGACUUAUCAUCGUCUUCGUUAUGGUGCCACCGACUGCAACUCCUAUUGCAUCCGCUCGCUGAACAGACCACGCGGUGGACGGUGCCUCCGACAGCCGAAUUACGACCAGAGCACGUGGUGCCCUCCUGGACAAACAUGCACUUGCAGUUGAUACAGAAAUAGGAGUUCGUGGGAAGUUGUAUGGUGGGCGUGUACAGUACAUAUUCCUUAAAACUAUGAUAAAUAAAAACUGCAUAAAAACGAAACUGCGCAAAACCCAAAAUACGAGUAUAAUAGCUUUUACUGCUGUACCACUUUAUUGUGAUCAUUUAUUAUGAUUCGUUAUUAAUUAUUAUUUGUUGAUUAUGUUGUUAUUUAUUAAUUAUGUUCUCUUUUUCAUGUUUUUUGAAUAUUAGAAUUUAGUUUUAAUCAAUGUAAGCUUGUGCAGGCGUAUCGCUCUGUGCACUGUUCGACUGUUGCCGAAUAAAAGUAAGAAUGUA